AUUGAACGCUGGCGGCAGGCCUAACACAUGCAAGUCGAGCGGAUGAAGGGAGCUUGCUCCUGGAUUCAGCGGCGGACGGGUGAGUAAUGCCUAGGAAUCUGCCUGGUAGUGGGGGAUAACGUCCGGAAACGGGCGCUAAUACCGCAUACGUCCUGAGGGAGAAAGUGGGGGAUCUUCGGACCUCACGCUAUCAGAUGAGCCUAGGUCGGAUUAGCUAGUUGGUGGGGUAAAGGCCUACCAAGGCGACGAUCCGUAACUGGUCUGAGAGGAUGAUGAGUCACACUGGAACUGAGACACGGUCCAGACUCCUACGGGAGGCAGCAGUGGGGAAUAUUGGACAAUGGGCGAAAGCCUGAUCCAGCCAUGCCGCGUGUGUGAAGAGGGUCUUCGGAUUGUAAAGCACUUUAAGUUGGGAGGAAGGGCAGUAAGUUAAUACCUUGCUGUUUUGACGUUACCAACAGAAUAAGCACCGGCUAACUUCGUG
rnacentral:rRNA from 1 species